UACAACGAAGAGUUUGAUCCUGGCUCAGGAUGAACGCUAGCGACAGGCCUAACACAUGCAAGUCGAGGGGCAUCGGGGAGCGAAGCUUGCUUUGCUCCGCCGGCGACCGGCGCACGGGUGAGUAACGCGUAUGCAACCUGCCCGUUUCAGCGGGAUAACCCGGAGAAAUCCGGCCUAAUACCGCAUGUGGCCGAGGGAAGGCAUCUUCUUUCGGCCAAAGGAGGCGACUCCGGAGACGGAUGGGCAUGCGUGACAUUAGCUUGUUGGCGGGGUAACGGCCCACCAAGGCGACGAUGUCUAGGGGUUCUGAGAGGAAGGUCCCCCACACUGGUACUGAGACACGGACCAGACUCCUACGGGAGGCAGCAGUGAGGAAUAUUGGUCAAUGGGCGAGAGCCUGAACCAGCCAAGUCGCGUGAAGGAUGACGGCCCUACGGGUUGUAAACUUCUUUUGUCAGGGAGCAAUUGGGUCCACGCGUGGGCUUAGCGAGAGUACCUGAAGAAAAAGCAUCGGCUAACUCCGUGCCAGCAGCCGCGGUAAUACGGAGGAUGCGAGCGUUAUCCGGAUUUAUUGGGUUUAAAGGGUGCGUAGGCGGAAUGUCAAGUCAGCGGUAAAAAUUCGGGGCUCAACCCCGUCGUGCCGUUGAAACUGAUGUUCUUGAGUGGGCGAGAAGUAUGCGGAAUGCGUGGUGUAGCGGUGAAAUGCAUAGAUAUCACGCAGAACUCCGAUUGCGAAGGCAGCAUACCGGCGCCCAACUGACGCUGAAGCACGAAAGCGUGGGUAUCGAACAGGAUUAGAUACCCUGGUAGUCCACGCAGUAAACGAUGAAUGCUAAUUGUCCGGAGGGAUUGACCUCUGGGUGAUACAGCGAAAGCGUUAAGCAUUCCACCUGGGGAGUACGCCGGCAACGGUGAAACUCAAAGGAAUUGACGGGGGCCCGCACAAGCGGAGGAACAUGUGGUUUAAUUCGAUGAUACGCGAGGAACCUUACCCGGGCUCAAACGCAGGAGGAAUACAUUUGAAAGGGUGUAGCUCUACGGAGUCUUCUGCGAGGUGCUGCAUGGUUGUCGUCAGCUCGUGCCGUGAGGUGUCGGCUUAAGUGCCAUAACGAGCGCAACCCCUAUCGACAGUUGCCAACAGGU
rnacentral:rRNA from 1 species